ACAGCAGUCGCCGCGGUAAUACGUAGGGUGCGAGCGUUAAUCGGAAUUACUGGGCGUAAAGCGUGCGUAGGCGGCUUUUUAAGUCGGAUGUGAAAUCCCUGAGCUUAACUUAGGAAUUGCAUUCGAUACUGGGAAGCUAGAGUAUGGGAGAGGAUGGUAGAAUUCCAGGUGUAGCGGUGAAAUGCGUAGAGAUCUGGAGGAAUACCGAUGGCGAAGGCAGCCAUCUGGCCUAAUACUGACGCUGAGGUACGAAAGCAUGGGGAGCAAACAGGAUUAGAGACCCCCGUAGUCCCUGUCUCUUAUAC
rnacentral:rRNA from 1 species